CAGACUUUAGAGAGGAUCAGUUUCGCCCCUGGUCUAGCUGUCAUUAGUUUGUAAUACUCGCUGUGGACAUUCAGUUUUAGGUCUGGCUUUUAAAUUAAUUUCAGGAAAAGGUUGCAUCGAAUUGCUGGCCAUUUGAUUUGAUAGUAAUAGGACAGUUUGGUACUAUAAACAGGCUGGGCAGACUAUUUCAAAAUAUAGCA